rnacentral:rRNA from 1 species
GAUGAACGCUAGCGGCAGGCUUAACACAUGCAAGUCGAGGGGUAGGUUACUUCGGUAGCUGAGACCGGCGCACGGGUGCGUACGCGUAUACAAUCUACCUUUUACAGAGGGAUAGCCCAGAGAAAUUUGGAUUAAUACCUCAUAGUAUUUUCGGAUCGCAUGAUUUGAUUAUUAAAGUUCCAACGGUAAAAGAUGAGUAUGCGUCCCAUUAGCUAGAUGGUAAGGUAACGGCUUACCAUGGCAACGAUGGGUAGGGGUCCUGAGAGGGAGAUCCCCCCACACUGGUACUGAGACACGGACCAGACUCCUACGGGAGGCAGCAGUGAGGAAUAUUGGACAAU